CAAGGAUGGCAGCAGAGAGUCUUAUGAGCUCAAGAGCCAGGAACUUCUUACAACCAUGGGAACUUCAGAUCUAGAGCUGUCCUCCCUAAAAAACUCUGUCAGCUGUCCACGUGUCAGUAUGAGAGGCAAGAUCAUCUGAGAGAAAGCUUCAGUGCUCCGGUACUCGUUCUUGCCUGCAUCCCUGCAUCUCAGGCGGGACAAAAGCAACCCACGUUAUCAUUCCCAGAUCCAGUCCUCUUUGCACACCUGGUGGAAAAAUCAGAGAUCUUUGCCUCUGACUCAGAACAGCUUGAAAAGCAAGAGAUAUAUCCGUACAUCCUAGGAGUGCAGGCUUGGAGGAAACGGGAGCAACGUGAACCACAAUGUCUGCUGCCUAAACAGUUUCCCCAAACUGGGACAACCAACAAAUGGUUCUUCAAGGAUUUACUGGACCUCCAGAGGAAGCUGUUUUUGGGUGCCUCAAAGAAAUCUGGAGCCCUGAGGAAAUCUCAGACACCUUGGAAAACUUCACACCACCAGUCAGAAUGUUCUUCUUUAAUGCUUAGGAAAGUUCAAGACUGACAGAAGAAAUAAACUGCAAAUGAAACUAGCACUAACACUCAGUGGCAGAGUGGUCAUUGAGGCAAGAAAUGUAUAAUUACGUGUCAGAAUGGUACCAUGUUCCAUAAAGCAUUCUGAGACUUGAAAAGCAUAGUCCUAAUAAUAUGAAAUAUCCACUAAAAUCAUUAUUAGAUAUGCAGGGAAUAAAGUUAGAUAUUUUUUUCACCCAAAAAGUAAAAAUAAAAUAUGC
ensembl:lncRNA